UACGUAGGGUGCAAGCGUUAAUCGGAAUUACUGGGCGUAAAGCGUGCGCAGGCGGUUUGUAAGUCUGACGUGAAAUCCCCGGGCUUAACCCUGGGAAUUGCGUUGGAGACUGCAAGGCUGGAGUCUGGCAGAGGGGGGUAGAAUUCCACGUGUAGCAGUGAAAUGACGUAGAUAUGCGGAGGAACACCGAUGGCGAAGGCAAUCCCCUGGGCCUGC
rnacentral:rRNA from 1 species